UUUAAUCAAUUCAAAAUUAUUAGUCUCAUUUAUUUUCUUCUCUUAUAUAUACUUGCAGAUCUAACGUGGGUAUUCCCUUCAAAUCCACGCUUUCAUCUUGGAUUUGAAAAACAACAAACUCAUCAAAGACCCCUUCACCAUUUUCUCUGUUCCUUUCCGUCUCCUUUAUUCUUCUUCAGUUAUAGCUGAUCUUUCUUGCUGAAACCUUUGCUUGAGCAGUAGAAAAUUUUGGGAAAAUUGGAAGCUUCCUCAGCUGUUUAGCUUCAACUUUGCUCAGGUUAGUACUUUUUCUCUUCCUUGCAUUAAUUUUCAAAGCAGAUAGCCAUUCUUUUUCUUCCUUUUUCGCUCUACUAAUAGAGUAGUAAUACAUAUGGGUCCCCUUUAAAACAUAUUAUUUGUUACUAUAUUUUCACAGACAAAAAAAGUUGUGUUUAGAGUGAAAAAAAUAUCUAAUAUUGAAAAAUCAUGUUAAUUUUACAUAAAUAAUACUAUAAAUCAUAAUAAUUAACAACUUAAAUAUUAAAAAGUUAUAUGAAAAAUUUGAUUGACUCUCGAAAUUCUAUUGAUACCACAAAAAAUGAGUUAGACGAUAAAUAUAUACUGUUUGAAAAUGACGUAAAAAGUAUUAUAAAUUACAGUAGUUAACAAUUUUUUUUAAAAACAAAUACAUAAAAAAAAUCCGUGACUCUAAAAAAAUCUAUCAAUGCCGCAUAAAUUGAGACAUAAAAAGUAACAUAUAUAUUAUUUGAAUGUUACGUUAAAAAAGUAUUAUAAAUUACAAUACUUUACAACUUAAUAUAUGUAAAAAAACAUACUUUUAAAAAAAGUGGUUAAUUUUAAAAUUAUAUAUAUGCCACAUAAAUUGAAACAAAGAAAAUAUAAUAAAUUAUUUUUAAAAUUACGUAAAAAAGUACUAACAACUUAAUUUUAAAAUUAUGUAAAAAAGUACUAACAACUUAAAAAAAAGUACUAACAACUUAACGCUUCCUUGUCAUUAUCAAGCAUCUUAUUGUUACAUGAUUGUUGUGUAACAAAAAUUUUAGUCUCAUUUUGUUUGAUUCGAUAUAAAAUCAUACUCCAUUUUUUAUUGAUAAUCGCUUCCUUGUCAUUAUCAAGCAUCUUAUUGUUACAUGAUUGUUGUGUUAAUCAGAUUUUAGUCUCAUUUUGUUUGAUUCGAUAUCAGUUUCAUAACUCUUAAAAGCUGAAAUGUUGCAUCUUUGUCCAGUAAACUCCAUUGUUUGACAACUUUUUUCCCUUUCUAGUUUUCUAUUUCAGCUAAGAUUUCUUCAUGUCUUUUGGUUUCAUAUUGUAGUAUUUUGACUCUAGUAUAAUUAUAGUCUCUUUAGUAUUAGUAUUAAUGUGUUGUGGCGUGGAGCUUCUGGAUCUAUCUCGUAUAUUGCUAUCAUUUUGAUUAAGUUAUCCGAACAUAAUUGUCACUUGAUUUCUUUGUUCAUCAUGAUUGAAUGAGUUCGUGUUGUCGCUGCCUUAGAAUUGAAUUUUGUUUUCUGUGGUUCAGCUACUGUUUAUUCCUAUCCUCUCUCUUUAUUUGAAGUUGUGAAAAAAUGCUAAAAAAAUCCCUCUCUUAUUCAUGUGUAAAAUUUCUGCAAAACAGUGGCAUACUUUGUAAAUUUUGUUUACUGCUUUGCUCAUGUUCAAAAUGCUCAGUUUCAUUCCAUUAAUAUAUGUGUCUGCUACUACCCUUUUCUUAGUGGUAUGAGACAUUGAUUCUGCAUUUUGUCAUUGUUUGUGGACUGCUAUGUGUUAGGAAGGAAAUUUGUUUCUAAAGGUGGUGGUUUACUUCAUUUUAAACUAGCUUUCACCUAAUUCCUUACUUCUUGAAUUUAGUUCUUUUUACCCUCAUAUAUGAUAUUCCAUAUUGCAUUGUAGACUUAAUAAUAUCAACUCCAACAGUCUACUCCAUUUUUGAUUGAUAAUCGCUUCCUUGUCAUUAUCUUUGUCUAAGUAAUUAUGUCCCAAAUACACCUGAUUAAUUCACUCCCUCAACACCUGAUUGAAGACAUACGAGUCUACCGGAGCAUCUUCAGCUAGCUGUAAUAGGAAAGUAAAGAAAACGGCUCUUGUUGCGUCUCUUCCCCCAUAAUACCUUUUCCCUAUAGGUUGUCGUGGGCUUAAAAGACAUGUUUUUGCAACCAGCCAUCGUCAGCUUGUUAACAUAGACACCUGCAACUGAUUUGGUCCUCUUUUCAAUGUGGAUUGGGGCUGGCUGUUUUAAUGAUUCACACCUCAGUAUUUGAACUGUAUUUUAGUUUGAAAAGUGAUGAACAAGACUUGUUAUGUGGAUGGGUAAUGAGACGUGAUGGUUCUCAACUCACUUCAUUAUGUAGCAUAUAAUUCACUAUAUAUACGUGGUUUAUGCAAGUUUAUCCAUCAAUUCUCAGUGUUAGUUGUUGACUCCAUCACUUUUGUCACUUAAAUGUAUGGCCUCACAUUUUCAACCUUACCAUUUGUUAGCUCUGUUGCCUUUGAAAUGCACCUUGGCUACAGCUUAUGGGGCCUCUAAGAAUAUCUUGGGAUUUUUCUCCUGCUGCCCUAUUCUUUGGCCUGAAGUGAACUAUAAAAUUCUGAAAGUUUUUUUGCCGUUAAAUUUUGAUUUGUAAACUGUAAUCUGCAAUCUACAAUUUGGAACCUGCAAUCUUGAACUGUAAUCUGCAAUCUGGAACCUACAAUCUGGAACUGUAAUCUGUAAUAUGCAAUAAUCUGGAAUCUGGAACUAUAAUCUGUAAUCUGCAAUAAUCUAUAAUCUAUAAUAUGAAAUCUGCAACCUACAAUCUUGAACUGCAAUCUGCAAUAUGAAAUCGGGAACCUGCAAUCUGGAACUCAAAAAGUCUGCAGUCUGCAAUCUGGAACUGCUGCAAUCGAGAAUCUGGAACUUCUUGCCUCUUCUAUAAUGUACUGCUGCAAUCUGAUUUGUUGUACUUUUAAAUGUGUAGGGAAAUGGAGGUGAUCAAAUUUGAAGGGUCGCCACAAGUCAAUUUGAUCUCAUUGAAGUUGAUGAUGAAUAGUUUUUGAACUAUUGUAAAUGUUUUAAUACAUUAUGUUUUAUUUUGUGAAAUAUAUUCAUUGCUAGAAU
rnacentral:lncRNA from 1 species